rnacentral:rRNA from 1 species
AUUGAACGCUGGCGGCAGGCCUAACACAUGCAAGUCGAACGAGUGGCGGACGGGUGAGUAAUGUCUGGGAAACUGCCCGAUGGAGGGGGAUAACUACUGGAAACGGUAGCUAAUACCGCAUACCAUCGGAUGUGCCCAGAUGGGAUUAGCUAGUAGGUGGGGUAACGGCUCACCUAGGCGACAAUCCCUAGCUGGUCUGAGAGGAUGACCUGCAACACUGGAACUGAGACGCGGUCCAGACUCCUACGAGAGGCAGCAGUGGGGAAUAUUGCACAAUGGGCGCAAGCCUGAUGGAGCAAUGCCGCGUGUAUGAAGAAGGCCUUCGGGGUGUAAAGUACUUUCGGCGAGGAGGCGUUACUCACAGAGGAAGCACCGGCUAACUGCGUGCCAGCAGCCGCGGUAAUAC